rnacentral:rRNA from 1 species
UGGGGAAUUUUGGACAAUGGGCGAAAGCCUGAUCCAGCAAUGCCGCGUGUGUGAAGAAGGCCUUCGGGUUGUAAAGCACUUUUGUCCGGAAAGAAAUCCUUGGCUCUAAUACAGUCGGGGGAUGACGGUACCGGAAGAAUAAGCACCGGCUAACUACGUGCCAGCAGCCGCGGUAAUACGUAGGGUGCAAGCGUUAAUCGGAAUUACUGGGCGUAAAGCGUGCGCAGGCGGUUUGCUAAGACCGAUGUGAAAUCCCCGGGCUCAACCUGGGAACUGCAUUGGUGACUGGCAGGCUAGAGUAUGGCAGAGGGGGGUAGAAUUCCACGUGUAGCAGUGAAAUGCGUAGAGAUGUGGAGGAAUACCGAUGGCGAAGGCAGCCCCCUGGGCCAAUACUGACGCUCAUGCACGAAAAGCGUGGGGAGCAAAACAGGAUUAGAUACCCUGGUAGUCCACGCCCUAAAACGAUGUCAACUAGUUGUUGGGGACUUCAUUUCCUUAGUAACGUAGCUAACGCGUGAAGUUGACCGCCUGGGGAGUACGGUCGCAAGAUUAAAACUCAAAUGAAUUGACGGGUCAUAGC